rnacentral:rRNA from 1 species
AGUGAACGCUGGCGGUAGGCCUAACGCAUGCAAGUCGAACGGCAGCACAGUAAGAGCUUGCUCUUACGGGUGGCGAGUGGCGGACGGGUGAGGAAUACAUCGGAAUCUACUUUUUCGUGGGGGAUAACGUAGGGAAACUUACGCUAAUACCGCAUACGACCUACGGGUGAAAGCAGGGGAUCUUCGGACCUUGCGCGAUUGAAUGAGCCGAUGUCGGAUUAGCUAGUUGGCGGGGUAAAGGCCCACCAAGGCGACGAUCCGUAGCUGGUCUGAGAGGAUGAUCAGCCACACUGGAACUGAGACACGGUCCAGACUACUAAGGGAGGCAGCAGUGGGGAAUAUUGGACAAUGGGCGCAAGCCUGAUCCAGCCAUACCGCGUGGGUGAAGAAGGCGUUCGGGUUGUAAAGCCCUUUUGUUGGGAAAGAAAAGCAGCAGGUUAAUACCCCGCUGUUCUGACGGUACCCAAAGAAUAAGCACCGGCUAACUUCGUG